GAAAAAUUGUAGCAUUUGUCAGGAAGAAUAUGAGGCUGAUGAUGAAAUGGGCAAGCUGGGUUGUGGACACUUUUAUCAUAUCGACUGCAUAAAACAGUGGCUUAUGCACAAAAAUAACUGUCCCGUCUGUAAAUCUGUUGCCAUGUCAACCUGUUGAUUUUCGUAUUCCUUUUGUAUAUAGCCUUUGUGCAUCCUGAAACUGAUGGCUCUUUUGUUCGGACAGCAGUUCAAUAUGAGACUGGCUGAAACAAGG
rnacentral:misc_RNA from 1 species